GCCGAACUCUUUCUUCUUUCUUAACACAUGCAAGUCGAACGGAAAGGCCCUGCUUUUGUGGGGUGCUCGAGUGGCGAACGGGUGAGUAACACGUGAGUAACCUGCCCUUGACUUUGGGAUAACUUCAGGAAACUGGGGCUAAUACCGGAUCGGAGCUCCUGCUGCAUGGUGGGGUUUGGAAAGUUCCGGCGGUGGGGGAUGGCCUCGCGGCUUAUCCGUUGGUUGGUGGGGUAGGGGCUUACCAAGGCUUUGCCGGGUAGCCGGCAUGAGAGGGUGACCGGCCACAUUGGGACUGAGAUACGGCCCAGACUCCUACGGGAGGCAGCAGUGGGGAAUAUUGCACAAUGGGCGGAAGCCUGAUGCAGCAACGCCGCGUGCGGGAUGACGGCCUUCGGGUUGUAAACCGCUUUCGCCUGUGACGAAGCGUGAGUGACGGUAAUGGGUAAAGAAGCACCGGCUAACUACGUG
rnacentral:rRNA from 1 species